rnacentral:miRNA from 1 species
CAGGGAUGCUGAGCACAGUGCCACCUCAUGGUACUUGGAAGGAGGUUGCCCGUGGUGAGUUUGCAUUACCUAAUGAUGC